CAGUAGCCGCGGUAAUACGUAGGUGGCGAGCGUUGUCCGGAAUCAUUGGGCGUAAAGGGAGCGCAGGCGGGCAUGUAAGUCUUUCUUAAAAGUGCGGGGCUCAACCCCGUGAUGGGAAAGAAACUAUGUGUCUUGAGUACAGGAGAGGAAAGCGGAAUUCCCAGUGUAGCGGUGAAAUGCGUAGAUAUUGGGAGGAACACCAGUGGCGAAGGCGGCUUUCUGGACUGUAACUGACGCUGAGGCUCGAAAGCCAGGGGAGCGAACGGGAUUAGAUACCCCUGUAGUCCCUGUCUCUUAUACC
rnacentral:rRNA from 1 species